rfam:Dipodomys ordii contig_3032, whole genome shotgun sequence.
UGGCUCAGUGGUAGAGUGCUUGCCUUGCAUGCAUGAGGCCCUGGGUUCGAUUCCUUA